CGGACCGGCGCACGGGUGAGUAACACGUAUGCAACCUGGCCGCCACAGGGGGAUAACCCGCGGAAACGCGGCCUAAUACCCCGUGACGCCACCGGAGGGCAUCCUCCGGUGGCCAAAGGAGCGAUCCGGUGGCGGAUGGGCAUGCGGCGCAUUAGCUAGACGGCGGGGUGACGGCCCACCGUGGCGACGAUGCGUAGGGGUUCUGAGAGGAAGGCCCCCCACACUGGGACUGAGACACGGCCCAGACUCCUACGGAAGGCAGCAG
rnacentral:rRNA from 1 species